UACGUAGGCAGCGAGCGUUGUUCGGAAUUACUGGGCGUAAAGCGUGUGUAGGCGGUCUGCUAAGUCGGGUGUGAAAGCCCCGGGCUCAACCCGGGAAGUGCACUCGAAACUGGCAGGCUAGAGUAUCGGAGAGGUUGGUGGAAUUCUCGGUGUAGAGGUGAAAUUCGUAGAUAUCGAGAGGAACACCGGUGGCGAAGGCGGCCAACUGGACGAAUACUGACGCUGAGACACGAAAGCGUGGGGAGCAAACAGG
rnacentral:rRNA from 1 species